GGGAUAAGGAGCAGUAGACUGUGCAUGUUUUAUGAUUUAUUCUCUCUUUUCAGCCCCUUCCAGUGCAGAGCAGUGUACUGGCAUCGGUCCAUCCAUGCUCAGAGGGACAAGCCUGGGGGAUCUUCCUUGGCUCGGAGAGAAGGCAGGCAGGGACACUGCCAUCAUUUCACUAACACCACAGUGUGGCCACCCAGAAGCAGGGCUCCUCUCCUACUUGCCUGUGCCACGCUCCGCUGAGAUAAACGGAGACGCGGCACCUCACAGAUCUGUCUAGGAACUCACAGUGAAGCCCCUGGCUUACCACAAGAAGGUGCAGUUUAGCAGUGGUUUCACAGUAGUGAAUACCUGUUAAAACAUCAAAGCUUAAAUUAUUAAAUAUUUAAAUAAAAUAAACAGUAA
rnacentral:lncRNA from 1 species